GCCACCUCGUGAAUCUCACUGUUAUCAGAGGCAAAGGCAUCGUCAUUCUUGGUAUUGUCUUGGCUGUUAACUGGGGAGAGAAAGGCUUGCCUUGAUUCUGCCUCCUUACCAAGGUGAAUAAGACAUCCUCAAGGAAACCAGCUGUGGCUCCGUCCACAGUUGUGCCUAUCUUAUACCAUGCAAUCAAUGGAACCAGUUGGUUUAAAUGGAUAAGAGCCUGAUCUAGUGACCCCCUCCAGCUGGCUGAUGUAGAACCAAGAGUCGCAUGGAUACUCUGGGCACAAAUGAGACAGAGAGCCCCAGUGGGGAGCAACCCCAGUCCUUGUGAUGGCUAAAACCAUUAUCAACCUCACAGUAUUUAAAAUCACUGAGGAGACAGACCUCUGAGCAUGACUUUUAGGGAGUUUCUAGAUUGGACUAAUCAGAGUAAAAAAGAUUUACCCUGAACAUAGGCAGCAGCAGCCCAUUGGCUGGGGGCCUCAACUAUAAAACAGGGGGAAGUUAGCUCAGGACCAGCGGUCUUCCCUCUUUACUAUGGGUGCAAUAUGACUGGCUACCUCAUGCUCCUGCCUCCAUGCAUUUCCUGCUCAAACAGGGAGUCAGAAAAAGCCAUUUCUCCCUGAGGUGAAUCACAGCGAUAAGGAAAGUGGUACUGUCUCCCAGACCAUUGAAAAAUCUCAUGAUCCUCAUGGAAGUUGCAAAACACCAUGGAUGAUUCAUUCUCUAGGCUCCACCCAUCCCAGGACAUGACAGGUGCACAUUAACCAAUAGAACCAGGCUCUGUCUAUAGACUACCUGCCCAAGGAAACUGUAGGACCAAUGGAAAUGAGUAGAUGUAUAACAAAACUUUGUGAAGGUCUUUCUGAAACCAGCAUCAAUGUGAUGCUAAGAGCUCAAAGUCAGGUAGAUCUGAGCUCAGAUUUGGCGUCUACAAUGUCCAGUUCUUAAGACUGGCUAGUUUGUAUCUUCUUGGAGCCUUGGGGUUUCUGCAGCAAGACAUAGAGCGAUGUGGGUCCACAUCAAGGAGUGACCAUGUAAAGUGCACAGCAGACCGUACCUGGUCCAGACUGAGCACCUGGGGGACGGUGACUGCUGCAGCCAUUAUUACAUCAUUACAUUAUUACAUUAUUACAUUAUUACAUCAGGAGGCAACCAUGAACUGCCUCCGCCUUUGGCACAUUGUUCUGGUGGGAGGGAAUUCUGCCCUGGGUGCAAGGAGAAGGAUCUCUUUGGAGAUCAGGAAACCUGUCAGCCCAUAUGAGCAUCAGAUGAGGAAUUUUCCUCUAGACAGCAAAGUUCUGAGUUCACUCUGAGGUUCUUGGAUGCUCCUGGCUAGAGGAAAAACGGUGUCAUCAGAUCCAGCUCCUGUCCUCUAAUUGGAUGCUCCCCCAGCAGCUUCUCAUCUGAGAUGUUAAGUGGGACAGGCCAAAUGCUUCUCCAGGUUCCAAAGGCAGGCCUUUCUCCUGAUAUGAAUCAUGGAGUCUGCUAGUCUCAUGUAGCCCAAGCUGUUCUUGAACUCUCAAUAUAUCAGACAGAGAAAGACUUUGAACUUCACCUCCUGAUUCCUGGAAUUAUAAGCAUGCACCACCACAUCCACUUUUAUACCAUGAAGGAGAUCCAAUGCCUAGUCUUCCACGCAGUAACAGCUCUCUAGAAAAUGAACCAUAGUCUCAGCCCCAUCCCCAUGACGUCUGAAUCAAGUCUCCCACUCCCACUACCACCUGACCUGGAAUGGCCAACAGGUACUCAGUGAAUGCAGCUGAUGCUGGAGUUUUCCCUCCUGCAGGAGCCCUACAGGAUGAUUUGGUGGGAGGAGAGUUGGAAGUUCUCCAUCAGCCCCAACCCCACAGUAAUGGGGGUGACUGUCAUGCACCGCCAUACCUGGUUCGUGUGAUACUGAGGCUCUACGCAAAAUAUCAGCUGAGCUACAUCUCCACUCCCUCAAUUUCUAGUUUAAAGACAAGCACACUGAGGCCAGGUGACAUCUCAAAGGCAGAAGUCACAGGAGGCUUUUGGUGUUGUCCCUCUGAAGUCGUGUUCUCUCCAUCUUCUGCCCUACCCACUGCUGGUGAUGUCACUGGAUCCUCUCAGAUCCACUCCCCUCGCUCCAGAUCCUAAAAGCCUAAGGCCUGAGUUCAACCCAAGCCCCUACCACCACCCCCACGCCGAGUGCUUGAGUCUCCCUGGUCUUAGCAGAAUAAAGGCAAAGACUCUCUGGGAAGGGACAUGUCCUUGAUCCUUGACAAUGUGUCUUAGGUUGUGCCUAGAGUAACCACAUCAAUUAAAAGGACAUAAAUAGCUUAUAACCAACUUCCAUGGGUUAUAAAUCACUGUUGCCCUGUGCCAUGGAGAGCAGAGCUUCUGUGAGCGCUUCUGUGGAUGCUCUCAGAUCACGUGGAUGUGAUCCCCAUCCACACAGGGUUAUUGAUGGCCUGCCAGAUGUGGUUUUUUUCACGGUGGGAGUAGGAUGCUGCAAUCUACCUUGCCAACUGUGUCUGUGAGGUCUCAAUCCAAGAGGGACAUGAGAAAGACACUCUGGGAGAAUACAAGCAGCAUUCUUGGCUCUCAUGAACCCUCCUCCCCCAGCAUUAGGUAACUGUCCUCUGUGGCAGUUACCAGAUCAGGGCCAUGUCAAACUGAUUCCAUGGUGCCACCAGUUGAGGAAGGCAAGGUCCCCAGCCUUCCCUCAAUGACUUCAAUCAGUCUCAAAAAUCCUUGUUACAUACCAUUGAGCUAAUAAUUGAAUAAUGUUUGUACUCAGAACUACACAGGCCAGGCUGUGGUGGCGCCCACCUUUAAUCCCAGCACUUGGAGGGCAGAGCAGCUCUGGCGAGUGAGCUUCGUAGUCCGUGUCCUGCUCGGAAUGUGCUUCCAAGACUCUCCACGAGCAACUGUAUCCAUUACCACAGCGUCAAAGCUCCACCACAGCGAGGACAGAGAUCCAGCUCGUGUUGGGAGUGUAUUUGAGCACCUCCCUUCCUUUUACAGCUCAGCGAGAUAGGCUUCAUACGUUAGGCCAGCCUGGGGCAAAGUCUUGCAAAGCAAGGACUUGGCCAACUCCACCCAAAUAUAAAAGCUAUUUGG